GAUUACUCUUGGCAGCACAAUCCCUUCAAACCACACAUUUUGAGUAACAGAAACCCUGAAGACAGCUAAAGGAUGUCAAGAUACUCAAGACAUCUUUUUCAUGACAAAAAUCUUAUCCAGGAGCUGAAUUCCUCCCCACUUGAAAAGUCAGAGAGCAGUUAGAACCAGAAGAGAUCAACCUGGAGAGAGUAGAAAAUGUCAUGGAAUCCAAGGACUACCAUAGCCAAAAAUGACUCUGAUUUCAGAUGUGAGCACUGUGCUAAAUGCUUUAACUAGAGGAUUCCAUCCGGUCCGGAGUCUCAUGAGCCCUUGCAAAGUAGAGACAUUCAUUGUAUACGUUUUUGAGGUAAGGAAACCGAGACGGAGAUGAGCAAUAAUGUUCUGUCCUGAGCUAACAUCUGUCACCAAUCCUUCUCUUUUUGCUGAGGAAGACUGGCCCUGAGCUAGCAUCCGUGCCCAUCUUCAACUACUUUAUAUGUGGGAUGCCUGUCACAGCAUGGCUUAAGCAAUGUGUAGGUCUGCACCAGGGAUCUGAACCGGCGAACCCUGGGCCACCAAAGCAGAACGUGUGAACCCAAUCGCUGCGCCACUGGGCUGGUCCCUGGUAGUAAUCUUUCAAAAUGUGAUUUUUAAAUAUUAUGUAAAGAAAUGUGCCAAUGUUUAGAAGAUCUAUAUGAAUAAUUCAUUGAACUAAUAUUUCCCAAUGCCCAUUGGAUGAUAUUUUAAAAAGUAUCUAUGGGUAAAAGAUUCAUCAAAGUGAAAGAUAGACCAAAGGAUUUUGAUGCAAUAGAGUAAAGUUUAUUGAUGUAAUUUCAGAGAUCACAGUGCAACUAAAAGAAUGUGCCAUUUAUAGAGUUUGAUCCAUUAUCUAAGAAAAAUAUUUACAAUUCUGAAAAUGUUGUUAAAAUACUCUUCCCUUUUCCUACUACAUAUCUGUGUAAGUCCAUAAUUUUUUUAUAUACUUCAACCAAAACAAUAUAUUGCAAGAGACUGAAUACAGAAACACAUCUGAGAAUACAUCUUUCUUCUAUUAAGUCAGACAUUGCAAAAAUGUAAAAUAAUGCCAUUCUUCUCACUAAUUUUUUUUGUUUUGGAAAAUGUAGAUUUUUCCAAAAACAUUUUAUUCAUGUUAACAUGCAGAGGGUUUAAUAUUCUUAUUUUACAGGGAUUUAACAUACAAAACAUUUUUAAACUUCCCAUUUUUAAUUCCUAAUAUGAUAAAUAUUGAUGGACGCACCCUACAAAACAUAGCUCUUUAUGCGUAAUGG
rnacentral:lncRNA from 1 species